rnacentral:rRNA from 1 species
AAUAGAUACCCAGGUAGUCCACGCCGUAAACGAUGGAUACUAGCUGUUCGGUUGUAAGACUGAGUGGCUAAGCGAAAGUGAUAAGUAUCCCACCUGGGGAGUACGAACGCAAGUUUGAAACUCAAAGGAAUUGACGGGGGGCCCGCACAAGCGGUGGAGCAUGUGGUUUAAUUCGAUGAUACACGAGGAACCUUACCAGGGCUUAAAUGUAGUGGGACAGGCUUGGAAACAGGCCCUUCUUCGGACUCAUUACAAGGUGCUGCAUGGUUGUCGUCAGCUCGUGCCGUGAGGUGUCAGGUUAAGUCCUAUAACGAGCGCAACCCCUGUUGUUAGUUGCCAGCGAGUAAUGUCGGGAACUCUAACAAGACUGCCGGUGCAAACCGUGAGGAAGGUGGGGAUGACGUCAAAUCAUCACGGCCCUUACGUCCUGGGCUACACACGUGCUACAAUGGCCGGUACAGAGAGCAGCCACUGGGGCGACCAGGGAGCGAAUCUAUAAAGCCGGUCACAGUUCGGAUUGGAGUCUGCAAACCCGGACUCCC